GGAGAACUCGUCAGACCCCAUUAUUAGUCAUAUGUAAGAUUGGCUCAACACGAGUUCAUUUAUAAAUUCUGUAAAAAUUCUUUUUCAGUAUUCACAUUUGCUUUGACCAAAAACUUUCUAAACUCAGUCUCAUGAAUCGCAUAGGACUCUUCUUUUCUACCAAGGUCGAUAGAUUCCAUCUAGAUACAUCCUACUCCAAACAGUGAACAUGAACCUACUGAAACUAGCAUACACAGCAA
rnacentral:lncRNA from 1 species